rnacentral:rRNA from 1 species
GUGGGGAAUCUUGCGCAAUGGGCGAAAGCCUGACGCAGCCAUGCCGCGUGAAUGAUGAAGGUCUUAGGAUUGUAAAAUUCUUUCACCGGGGACGAUAAUGACGGUACCCGGAGAAGAAGCCCCGGCUAACUUCGUGCCAGCAGCCGCGGUAAUACGAAGGGGGCUAGCGUUGCUCGGAAUUACUGGGCGUAAAGGGAGCGUAGGCGGAUAGUUUAGUCAGAGGUGAAAGCCCAGGGCUCAACCUUGGAAUUGCCUUUGAUACUGGCUGUCUUGAGUUUGGGAGAGGUGAGUGGAACUCCGAGUGUAGAGGUGAAAUUCGUAGAUAUUCGGAAGAACACCAGUGGCGAAGGCGACUCACUGGCCCAAUACUGACGCUGAGGCGCGAAAGCGUGGGGAGCAAACAGGAUUAGAAACCCCGGUAGUCC